rnacentral:rRNA from 1 species
GACGAACGCUGGCGGCGUGCUUAACACAUGCAAGUCGAACGGAAAGGCCCUGCUUUUGUGGGGUGCUCGAGUGGCGAACGGGUGAGUAACACGUGAGUAACCUGCCCUUGACUGUGGGAUAACAUCAGGAAACUGGGGCUAAUACAGGAUAGGAGCUCCUGCUACAUGGUGGGGGUGGGAAAGUGUCGGAGGUUGGGGAUGGACUCGCGGCUUAUCGGCUUGUUGGUGGGGUAGUGGCUUACCAAGGCUUUGACGGGUAGCCGGCCUGGGAGGGUGACCGGCCACAUUGGGACUGAGAUGCGGCCCAGACUCCUACGGGAGGCAGCAGUGGGGAAUAUUGCACAAUGGGCGGAAGCCUGAUGCAGCAACUCCGCGUGCGGGAUGACGGCCUUCGGGUUGUAAACCGCUUUCGCCUGUGACGAAGCGUGAGUGACGGUAAUGGGUAAAGAAGCACCGGCUAACUACGUG